rnacentral:rRNA from 1 species
AUUGAACGCUGGCUGCAGGCCUAACACAUGCAAGUCGAACGCGUGGCGGACGGGUGAGUAAUGUCUGGGAAACUGCUCGACGGUGGGGGAUAACUACUGGAAACGGUAGCUAAUACCGCAUUCCAUCGGAUGUUCCCUUAUGGUAUUAGCUUGUAGGUGGGGUAACGGCUCUCCUAGGCGACGCCCCCUAGCUGGUCUGAGAGGAUGAUCAGCCACACUGUGACUGAGACACGGCCCAGACUCCUACGAGAGGCAGCAGUGGGGAAUAUUGCACAAUGGGCGCAAGCCUUAUGCAGCGAUGCCGCGUGUGUGAAGAAGGCAUUCGGGUUGUAAAGAACUUUCAGUCGGGAGGCGUUACCGACAGAAGAAGCACCGGCUAACUCCGUGCCAGCAGCCGCGGUAAUAC